UUAGUACUCCCUCCGUCCGAAAAUACUUGUCAUCAAAAUGGAUAAAAAGGGAUGUAUCUAUAACUAAAAUACAUCUAGAUACAUCCCCUUUUAUUCAUUUUGAUGACAAGUAUUUCCGGAUGGAGGGAGUAGCUG
rnacentral:pre_miRNA from 1 species